AUGACUGUAUUUCAGAUUUCUGCAAUAUGUUACACUUCAAACUUGCACCUAUCCAUUAUGAUUCUCCACUCCAUGAACUGUUUUUAUGAAGAGGCACACAACCAAUCAAAAGGUUUGUGCAUCAAAACCCAAUAUCUCCUGUCCACUACUCCCAAAAGAUUUCUGCAAUUUACUACACAUCAACGUCCCUUCUCCAAUAUGACUCUCCACCCCAUGAACCGUUUUUAUGAAGAGGCACACAACCAAUCAAAAGUGAAUACAAAAUCAUUGUUCAAGUAUCUUCAGAAAAUGUCCCGGCAAAACUCUAAACCGAUGCAGGCAGUCAAUAGUCAAAGAUAUCACAAAUGCAUAACCACAAAAGUAACACAAUUCUAUAUGAAAUGUUGGAUGGAUGGCUUGUAUUAUAUUUGGCCUAUGUACAGCAAACUUAGAUGCCAGCCAAAGGAGGAUGGCUUGCCCCUGCUGAGUCUGGUUCCUCCCAAGGUUUCUCCCUAUACCUCUCUGCUGAUGAUCCUCUUCACUAAUUUAGGGAGUUUUUCCUUGCCACUGUUGCCUUCUGGCUUGCUCACUGGGGUUUUAAGGCACAAUAUUUUCAAUGUAAAUUGUUUGUAA
rnacentral:lncRNA from 1 species